GUAAGGCUGAGUAUUAGGCAAAUCCGGUACUCGUUAAGGCUGAGCUGUGAUGGGGAGAAGACAUUGUGUCUUCGAGUCGUUGAUUUCACACUGCCGAGAAAAGCCUCUAGAUAGAAAAUAGGUGCCCGUACCGCAAACCGACACAGGUAGUCAAGAUGAGAAUUCUAAGGUGAGCGAGCGAACUCUCGUUAAGGAACUCGGCAAAAUGACCCCGUAACUUCGGGAGAAGGGGUGCUCUUUAGGGUUAACGCCCAGAAGAGCCGCAGUGAAUAGGCCCAAGCGACUGUUUAUCAAAAACACAGGUCUCUGCUAAACCGUAAGGUGAUGUAUAGGGGCUGACGCCUGCCCGGUGCUGGAAGGUUAAGAGGAGUGGUUAGCUUCUGCGAAGCUACGAAUCGAAGCCCCAGUAAACGGCGGCCGUAACUAUAACGGUCCUAAGGUAGCGAAAUUCCUUGUCGGGUAAGUUCCGACCCGCACGAAAGGCGUAACGAUUUGGGCACUGUCUCAACGAGAGACUCGGUGAAAUCAUAGUACCUGUGAAGAUGCAGGUUACCCGCGACAGGACGGAAAGACCCCGUGGAGCUUUACUGUAGCCUGAUAUUGAAAUUCGGCACAGCUUGUACAGGAUAGGUAGGAGCCUUUGAAACGUGAGCGCUAGCUUACGUGGAGGCGCUGGUGGGAUACUACCCUAGCUGUGUUGGCUUUCUAACCCGCACCACUUAUCGUGGUGGGAGACAGUGUCAGGCGGGCAGUUUGACUGGGGCGGUCGCCUCCUAAAAGGUAACGGAGGCGCUCAAAGGUUCCCUCAGAAUGGUUGGAAAUCAUUCAUAGAGUGUAAAGGCAUAAGGGAGCUUGACUGCGAGACCUACAAGUCGAGCAGGGUCGAAAGACGGACUUAGUGAUCCGGUGGUUCCGCAUGGAAGGGCCAUCGCUCAACGGAUAAAAGCUACCCCGGGGAUAACAGGCUUAUCUCCCCCAAGAGUUCACAUCGACGGGGAGGUUUGGCACCUCGAUGUCGGCUCAUCGCAUCCUGGGGCUGUAGUCGGUCCCAAGGGUUGGGCUGUUCGCCCAUUAAAGCGGUACGCGAGCUGGGUUCAGAACGUCGUGAGACAGUUCGGUCCCUAUCCGUCGUGGGCGUAGGAAAUUUGAGAGGAGCUGUCCUUAGUACGAGAGGACCGGGAUGGACAUACCUCUGGUGUACCAGUUGUCGUGCCAACGGCAUAGCUGGGUAGCUAUGUGUGGACGGGAUAAGUGCUGAAAGCAUCUAAGCAUGAAGCCCCCCUCAAGAUGAGAUUUCCCAACUUCGGUUAUAAGAUCCCUCAAAGAUGAUGAGGUUAAUAGGUUCGAGGUGGAAGCAUGGUGACAUGUGGAGCUGACGAAUACUAAUCGAUCGAAGACUUAAUCAAAA
rnacentral:rRNA from 1 species